rfam:Hordeum vulgare subsp. vulgare, WGS project CAJW01000000 data, contig: morex_contig_50260
GAUAUACUCCUUCCGUCUUAAAUUUUUUUGUCUUAGCUUUAUCUUAAUAUGAAUGUAUCUAGUCAUAUUUUAGUGUUAGAUACAUCCAUAUCUAGACAAAUCUUGUAUCAGAAUUUUGAAACUGAGGCAGUAGUAU